AUCCUAUUCAGGGUUUUCUUUUAUCUAUUUUAAUUUUUUUUGUAUUUUAUUUUGGGAGGUAGUUGGGGGCUUGUUUCAGGAACAUUUGAGGGAAGACAGAAAACUGGCAGAAUACAAAGAAUAAAUGCAAAUGUUCAUCAUUAGUGUUUUGCAUCUUUGUUUUGCAGAGUGCCAACAGGCAGAAAAACUGUCAGCUCCAGAAGGGUGGAUUUGUUGUUGCCAGUUUACUAGCUUGGAGAGGUUUUUCUACCUUCAUCCACUGAGACCUUGACGAUAUAUCUGAUUUGCUAAAUCUGAUGCACACAUUGCUCUCUAACAGGACCCAUCUCAUGCAGCUCAAUUUCUGAUCAGCCUUGUGCAGACUUGUUUUGGACUGCUAUCUCCUUCUGCAAGCAAAAUAGCAACUUCUACUCAAUCCUUCAUGAAGGAGAUGUGUCAGCAGUUCUCUUGCACUUCCCAAGGGAAUAAAGGUAAUGCUUCUGACAAAUGAAAA